GACGUAGGGCGCGAGCGUUGUCCGGAUUUAUUGGGCGUAAAGAGCUCGUAGGCGGCUUGUCGCGUCGACUGUGAAAACCCGCGGCUCAACUGCGGGCCUGCAGCCGAUACGGGCAGGCUAGAGUUCGGUAGGGAGACUGGAAUUCUCGGUGUAGCGGUGAAAUGCGUAGAUAUCGAGAGGAACACCUGCGGCGAAGGCGGGUUGCUGGGCUGAUACUGACGCUGGAGGCGCGAAAGCCAGGGGAGCGAACGGG
rnacentral:rRNA from 1 species